GGAAGUGAUAGACUACAAGGAUCCCCUAGUAACUGCGAGUGAAGCGGGAAAAGCUCAAAUUUAAAAUCUGGUGGCCUUUGGUCAUCCGAGUUGUAAUUUAGAGAAGCGUCUUCCGCGCUGAACCGUGCACAAGUCUCCUGGAAUGGAGCGUCAUAGAGGGUGAGAAUCCCGUCUUUGGCACGGAACAUCAGGGCUUCUGUGAUGCGCUCUCGACGAGUCGAGUUGUUUGGGAAUGCAGCUCAAAAUGGGUGGUGAACUCCAUCUAAAGCUAAAUAUUGGCGAGAGACCGAUAGCGAACAAGUACCGUGAGGGAAAGAUGAAAAGCACUUUGGAAAGAGAGUGAAACAGUACGUGAAAUUGUUGAAAGGGAAACGCUUGAAGUCAGUCGCGUCGACCGAGACUCAGCCUUGCCUUGGCUUGGUGUACUUCUCGGCUGACGGGUCAGCAUCAAUUUUGAUCCUCGGAUAAUGGCAAGGGAAAGGUAGCACCUUUUUAGGUGUGUUAUAGUCCUUUGUCGCAUACGGGGGUUGGGAUUGAGGAACUCAGCACGCACCUCUCGGUGUCGGGGCACCACCUCUUUUGAGCUUCUCAUAUUGUCACGGGGAAGAGAUCGCCUCUUUAGAGGUGUGAUAUAGUUCUUUCUCACACGCGGGGGGGGGGAGAGAGGAUCACCGCGCGCCUCUCGCGGUGGGGGGCGCACGGCUCACGCUACGUGCUUAGGAUGCUGGCGUAAUGGCUUUAAACGACCCGUCUUGAAACACGGACCAAGGAGUCUAACAUACCCGCGAGUGUUCGGGUGGAAAACCCGUGCGCGUAAUGAAAGUGAAAGUUGGGACCUCUGUCGUGGAGGGCACCGACGCCCGGACCAGACCUUCUGUGACGGCUCUGCGGUAGAGCGUGUAUGUUGGGACCCGAAAGAUGGUGAACUAUGCCUGAAUAGGGUGAAGCCAGAGGAAACUCUGGUGGAGGCUCGUAGCGAUUCUGACGUGCAAAUCGAUCGUCAAAUUUGGGUAUAGGGGCGAAAGACUAAUCGAGCUUGCUGGGGCUC
rnacentral:rRNA from 1 species